UUCCCUUGAUCACAGGCGCAGGUUAAUGACUCACGCAAACGGUCUAGGCUAUGCAUGAAACAUUACAGACUGCCCUGUUGAGGAACGCAAGCUUCGCUGAACAGUGAUGUGUAGAGUCAUAGGGUCCGCAGCAACCUAACAAAGGAAACGGGCAAGCUGUAGCCUGGAGCGGAGAUUCGAACAACGGGACUAGGUACCCUCAACAGCAGCCAAGCAGGUGAAUCGCGAGCACGGAUUGAAGACGACCGGUCAAACGAUACCACCUGACCCUCAUCGCAAGCAAGGAUUAGAAGCGUGUAAUGCGUCAGUUAGGGUUACGAGAUGACUCAUUAAAGCGUAACGAAAGUAGGAAUGAACACGGGACAAACGUUUGUCCCGCGUCCAUUCCUGUGUGGUGUGUGUUUCUUCGCGUCACAGGUUCGCACG
rnacentral:lncRNA from 1 species